CAGCCGCCGCGGUAAUACGUAGGGUGCAAGCGUUAAUCGGAAUUACUGGGCGUAAAGCGUGCGCAGGCGGUUUGUUAAGACAGAUGUGAAAUCCCCGGGCUCAACCUGGGAACUGCAUUUGUGACUGGCAAGCUAGAGUGUGGCAGAGGGGGGUGGAAUUCCGCGUGUACCAGUGAAAUGCGUAGAGAUGUGGAGGAACACCGAUGGCGAAGGCAGCCCCCUGGGCCAAUACUGACGCUCAUGCACGAAAGCGUGGGGAGCAAACAGGAUUAGAUACCCCCGUAGUCCCUGUCUCUUAUAC
rnacentral:rRNA from 1 species